CCUACGGGUGGCUGCAGUGAGGAAUAUUGGUCAAUGGGCGCGAGCCUGAACCAGCCAAGUAGCGUGAAGGAUGACUGCCCUACGGGUUGGAAACUUCUUUUAUAAAGGAAUAAAGUGAGGCACGUGUGCCUUUUUGUAUGUACUUUAUGAAUAAGGAUCGGCUAACUCCGUGCCAGCAGCCGCGGUAAUACGGAGGAACCGAGCGUUAUCCGGAUUUAUUGGGGUUAAAGGGAGCGUAGAUGGGUUGUUAAGUCAGUUGUGCUAGUUUGCGGCUCAACCGUAAAAUUGCAAUUGAUACUGGCAGUCUUGAGUACAUUUGCGGUAGGCGUAAUUCGUGUUGUAGCGGUGCAAUGCUUAGCUCUCAC
rnacentral:rRNA from 1 species